rnacentral:rRNA from 1 species
GUGCCAGCAGCCGCGGUAAUACGUAGGUCCCGAGCGUUGUCCGGAUUUAUUGGGCGUAAAGGGAGCGCAGGCGGUCAGGAAAGUCUGGAGUAAAAGGCUAUGGCUCAACCAUAGUGUGCUCUGGAAACUGUCUGACUUGAGUGCAGAAGGGGAGAGUGGAAUUCCAUGUGUAGCGGUGAAAUGCGUAGAUAUAUGGAGGAACACCAGUGGCGAAAGCGGCUCUCUGGUCUGUCACUGACGCUGAGGCUCGAAAGCGUGGGUAGCGAACAGGAUUAGAUACCCUG